UACGAAGGGGGCUAGCGUUGCUCGGAAUCACUGGGCGUAAAGCGCACGUAGGCGGCUUAUUAAGUCAGGGGUGAAAUCCUGGAGCUUAACUCCAGAACUGCCUUUGAUACUGAUGAGCUUGAGUCCGGGAGAGGUGAGUGGAACUGCGAGUGUAGAGGUGAAAUUCGUAGAUAUUCGCAAGAACACCAGUGGCGAAGGCGGCUCACUGGCCCGGUACUGACGCUGAGGUGCGAAAGCUAGGGGAGCAAACGGG
rnacentral:rRNA from 1 species